CCUACGUGUGGCAGCAGUGGGGAAUUUUGCGCAAUGCUCGUAAGAGUGACGCAGCGACGCCGCGUGAAUGACGAAGGCCUUCGGGUCGUAAAGUUCUUUCGACAGGGAAGAAAAUGCCUAUAAGUAACUGUGUAUGUAUUUACGGUACCUGUAUAAGCAGCCCCAGCUAACUCCGUGCCAGCAGCCACGGUAAGCAGGAGGGGGCGAGCGUUGUUCGGAGUGACUGGGCGGAAAGGGCACGUAGGCGGUGUUGUAAGUCAUUAGUCAAAGACUAGAGCUCAACUUUAGUAAGGCUAGUGAUACUAUAAUACUAGAGUAUCAGAGAGGAAUGCAGAAUGCCGGGUGUAGCGGUGAAAUGCGUAGAUAUCAGGAGGAAUACCGUUAGCGAAGGCGGCAAUCUGGCUGGAAACUGACGCUGAGGUGCGAAAGCGUGGGUAGCAAACAGGAUUAGAUACCCGGGUAGUC
rnacentral:rRNA from 1 species